GAUGAACGCUGGCGGCGUGCUUAACACAUGCAAGUCGAACGGAAAGGCCCAGCUUGCUGGGUGCUCGAGUGGCGAACGGGUGAGUAACACCUGGGUGACCUGCCCCUAACUUCGGGUUAAGCUUGGGAAACUGGGUCUAAUACCGGAUAGGACAAUCGUUUAGUGUCGGUGGUGGAAAGUUUUUUCGGUUAGGGAUGAGCCGGGGGCCUAUCAGCUUGUUGGUGGGGUAAUGGCCUACCAAGGCGUCGACGGGUAGCCGGCCUGAGAGGGUGGACGGCCACAUGGGGACUGAGAUACGGCGCAGACUCCUACGGGAGGCAGCAGUGGAGAAUCUUGCACAAUGGGGGCGAGCCUGAUGCAGCGACGCCGCGUGGGGGAUGACGGCCUUCGGGUUAUAAACCUCUUUAGACAGGGACGAAGCUUUGGUGACGGUACCUGUAUAAGAAGCACCGGCUAACUACGUG
rnacentral:rRNA from 1 species